CAUUGCAGAAACGAUUUGACCAGAAAACUAUAAUAAAGGUAAACUAUUGAGUGUUGUUAGGCCAGGCGCAUGCUCGCACAGGAAGAUAUUUAAUUUGAUAAUUAAUUCUUUGUAGGUUUCCAUGGUGAAAAUAAUAUUAAUAGUAUUAUUAAUUUUAUUGUGGAAACACGUGAUUAUUUAUAAAUUUGUAACCCCAAGCCUAAGUGUCAUUCCAACCGAAUUCAGUUCUAACCUAAUACCAGAAACCAUGACAUCAUUUCUGAAAACUUGAAUGAUUUUCUAUCUCAGUAGUGGUCUGGCAUUGGGGUCGUAAGAAUUAGGAAUUUGGAUAUUAGUGUGCAAAAUUAAGUUGCUAAUAUCAAAAUCCCCCCAAGCGUUUGAUCCUUGGUCGAAAACCCGGACAUUGCUCAUUAUGUGCACUGAUUUGUGAAUACAGAGCGAAAGAGUGGAGUAUAAACCUGGUGUUUCCACGAAAAGAAAUUAAUUAUCACGUGUUGUAAUCAGGGCCACCGAUAGGUUGCGUGGCGCCCGAGGCAAACCUUUCCCAGCCCCUACGACGUUAUUAUUCUUUGUUUGCAAUUACGUGACUUUUCAUCCAAAUGACGGGCAAUCAAACAAACUUGUGGACGAUUUUCUCCUAUCAGAAUGGUUGUAGCAAGAACAACUGAAUGGUAAUUCGUCUUUUGAGUCUUAAACUGUCUCUAAACUCGAUCAAUACAUUAAAAUAGCCGGGUUUUGUUAUACCUGCCCAUCAACUGAAAUCCCAAAAUUACGUCAUUGCAAACCAAGAAUUGGUAAAAGGGGAGAAGCAGUGUUUUACAAUAUAAUACUCUUUAGUACGUAUUAUCCGACAUUAACGCAGCACGAAUUUAUAUUCUCAGUUAAACAAUCUUGUAUCAAGAGAUUUUAAGGGCCUUCGUUGCUUUGGGAGCCACUUUUCAGGUGGGGGCCCGGAGCACAGUGCCCCUCCCCCCCCCCCCUCCAGGCGGCCCUGGUUGUAAUGAUGCUUUGGUAUUUUGUAGGAAAAUGCUCCGAAGCGUAAAGCGGAUCUGGCUCAUGCAUGGACACAUAUGAUUUCGAAUCAACAGAAUGCAGAUGAAUAAUUCUGAAAUAUAAAAUAUGGCACCACACUCAUAGAAGAUCCAAGAUAACGUACAACGCCCAUUCCAAUAUAUACCAUUUAGUAUUUGACUCCCAGAUUUUUGGUCGCAGGUUUUUAUGUGCACUGCCCUUAAUACAUAAAGCAUAAACUGUAAAUAUAAUUAAUCGUUUGUAACGGAUCAAUUAUGGUUAUAAAACCUAUAUGUAUAAUCUUUAUACUGUAUUGUUUUGUAAAAUAUCCUUUCUGACAGAACCGGUAUCUUAUAUGUUUCUAGUCAUGUUUCUACUCUUCCUUCGCUCGCUCUCGCAACCUUUAAAACCUUUUGCGGAAGAGAGUCAUUCGCACGUCCAAACAUACACAAUAUCAGCACUUUAGCGCGAAUCGAACUUACGAGCCUUUCAGUUUUGUAAUUAUUAGCAUGACUAUCGAUAAAGUAUUAUUUUGGGGUGAAGAUACAAAAUGCUGCAAGUCUUUGUAUUCAGCUUACAGUUCUUGGUGCGUUAAUUAUUUGUUGGGAUACUCCAUUAUUUAUAGAAGGUGCGCGAAAAUUAAAGGUGUGGAAAACUUUUUUUCAGCCAUCGCAAGAGUCUACUCAGAAUCUCGUUGCGAGCUAACCUGCGAUCAGGGUAAUACAGAGCAUUUUAAUGUUUUUGCGAAGAGUGGAAAUUUAAAGGACUAAUGGACUUAAAGUAAUAUGUAUAAAUAAAUAACAACAUUUCAUCCAGUUACUGGAUAUACAGUAAGGCAUAUAGUAAAAAAAUUAUAUCUUAUUUUUGAGGUGUGUUUUUUCAAUUCAAUCCGUAAUCGUUGGGUUGCAAAU